rnacentral:lncRNA from 1 species
CCUCCCAGCAGUGCUCCUCAAACACCCCGCUCCCAAACUGGGGGAAACAGGUUGGCGUUUCUUUCUCCGCACGGUGUCUUUUCAUCCCUCGCCCUUUUUCUCAGACCAUUUGUCAAGGGUUCACCGCUCGCUUCUUAUGAGUUCCACGGGCUAAAACCAGAGGGACCGGGGCCGCUUGACCGAGCACGUAACGUCACGAGCCAGGGGGUUCACUCAGCCCCGCCAGAGCCUCCGGGUGACCCCGAAACCUCCCGAGGGAGCACCCGACAAGGAGGGGAGGGGGGGGCUCGCCUCUGCGGGCGGCGGGGCUGCACCCGACCAGCCGGGGGGGGCUCGCAGGUGGCGGCCGCGACCCCCCGGCCCCCCGGGCGCCCCCCGGCUCCCCCCCGGAGGAGCAAACUCCACCCCGGGCCGCGGCCCCGGGGCCGGGCGGCGGCAGAGGAGGGGGCCGGGGCGGGAGGCGGAUCGCCGGGCCGCUGCCUCCCAGCGCCGCUCCUCCCGCUGCUCGCAGUGCCGCCGCGGUGCAGCGGGCUGCCGGGGCACGGCCGAGCAUCCUCGGGCCGCCGGCAGCGGCAGGAGGCGGCAGGUGGCCCGGGGCUCGGCGUGGUGCGGCCCCAGCUCCUCGUCCCCAGCUCCUGGGGGUCGGGGACCGGCUGCGGGACCCCCCCCGUCCUCCCUCCCCGUCCCGUCCCUUUCCCCGGCAGCCCCGAAAGGGCGGGCGGAGAUGCCGGCAACGUGAGCGGGGAGCGGAGCCCCCCGGCCCCAGCCCGGCCCCAGGUGGGUGAGUUCUUGCUUUGCUUCGCUUCGCUUUGCUUCGCUUCGCUUUGCUCUGCUUCGCUUCGCUUUGCUUUGCUUCGCUUCUCUUCCCUCGCCGAGCCCCGGAGCCUCGGAGCCGGAGCUGACCCCGCUGCCGGCCCCAUCCCCGCCGCGGAUGCGCCCCGAAGCAGGGCCGGGUGCCCCCAGCCCCGGGGCUCGGGCAGCGAGGUGCCCCCGGCCGGCUCCUCGCAGGGCGAGGCGUGA